rnacentral:lncRNA from 1 species
UUAACUAAUGCUUGAAUUCAUAAUCAUACAACCAUGUAAUCUAAGCCGCCGACUGAAAAGUUACAAAGAUGGUUAUUUUAGGUUCCUUUUUAUACAAGCAAGGGAAACAUGGUCCCUUUUAUUCUGACUGGUUCACAAGAUAAUAGUACUGACAUUCUAAGCUAUACUUAGUUCAUACAUUAAAAUUCAUCUUCUCCAUAAAAUAUACCAACCUACAACCAGUGAGUGUAAUUUUCAUCUUGCUUGGUUUCAAGCUUCCACCACAAGAGUGUAAGAUUAAAAAUAAUAUUAAAAUAAAAUCUUGCUCAUUUUCUUUCAUUCACUUUUUCACCGACUAAAAAUAGAACCAAAGUAAUACAAUCUGUAUCACCAAAAGGUCUCACCAUAUAAAAAUAAAAAAUUAUUUAUUAAAAAAAAUUCUAGUAAAAAAGUAAACUUUCUUAUAAAAGACUUGCAUUGAAAAGAAUCUCCUCAAAAUCAAACCUAACCUUAAUAUUUUAAAGGUCUUUAAUCUAUAUAGUAGUACAAAACAGUGAAAAAUAAUGACUAUAGGACUUGAAGAUAGAAAGUAGUACAAAACAAAAAACUAAUUAACUAUUCAAAUGCGAGAAAAGAAAUUUAUAUUACUCUCAACUCACCAAAAAGUAAGCAUAUUAAAUUACAAAAGAAAAAAUGAGUUUUAAAUUGGGAACUAUAAGCAUAUUCAAUUGCAAAAGAAGAAAUGACUUUUAAAUUGGGAACUAACCUCCCUCCCAACUUUGGGCAAUUCCACUAUCAAAUGUCAAUUUUAUAUACAAAGUUUAUAUCAAAAGUUAAUACGGAGUACCUUCCAGCAUCUUCAGGGCUAAACUCAAUAUCAUCACACCCCAAACUCCUACCAUAACCUUACCAUACUCCUAGCUUUCGAUUUCUUCAGCUUAUACUUCAUAUGAAUCUCACACGUCGCUAUAAACGUAUGAAUCCUAGGCUUCUUCGCAUACUUAACAGCUUCCCAAGCCGCAUCAAUGUCCUUCUUAUUACACCUCGCCAAUCCGCAUUUGGUGGUCAUGGUCGCGCCAGGGGACUGUUCGCCGUCGCGGAGGGUGGUGUCGAAGAUUCGGAUGCAAUUCGGGUUGGGGAUGCGGUGGGGGUGUAUUCGGGGCGGCGGAGGGGAGAAUGUAAGCAGCAGCGGAGAAUUGGGGUGGUGGGUUUUAUGGGUUUGAAGUGAAAAAGGGUGGGAAUUGGAGAAUUGGAGAAUUGGAAGAGAAAGAGGAGGAAUUGGUUGGGCAGUAAUUGGGGUGAGGGAAAAUGGCCGCCAUGGGAAAGAUAGAGAGAGAAAGCUUGGUAAAUGUAAAGUGAUUGGAGGAAUAUAGACUAUUGAAGAGGGGGAAAAGGGUUUAUGGAAUAUACAUUUUUUAAGCGACCCCAAGGUCCCCAACAUAUAUUCUUAUUCUAAAUGGUUAAACCCUAUAAUAAUUUUUUCAAUAAUACAGUGUAUUUUUUAAAAUGUUACUGUAUUUGCGUAAUAUGAAUAUUAUUUUUAAAAUCGUUAAUUUUAAAAUAGAUCAUUAAUUUUGAAAAUGAAAAGAUUAUUCUAAUAUCAUUCUUGAUUACAAAAUUGACAGGAAGUAAAUAUAAUAAAUAAAGAUUCUUCUUUGAUUACAAAAGUCAUAGAAAGGUCGAUACACGUGGCAUUAGAAAAUGUUAUUUUUUUUGUUUACCAAAACCAGAUAAAUAAACUUGGACUCGGUUAGCAUGAAUUUGGCUCAUCAAGACCAUCGGUCGGUUGAAGUUUAUGGUGCCGCUGAUACCUCAUUAAUAAUUAAAUUAAUGGACGAGAUUCAACAAUUCUGCACGGCGUCGUUUGGCAAAGCGAAUUUGGAUAAAUCGGAUGCAGCGAAGUAAUCAGCUCAAACAAGGGGAGAUUUAUAAUCGGCACUGACAAGCGAUGAUUGACGUCAGACGGAAGAUUUGGAGUCAUAAUAAAAAAUGUAAAACAAAGCUUCUUGAGAUUGGAUGACACUUUGUAGCAACCAUGUAAAACAGAGCAACGAAAAUUCAAAUAGGUAAUGUAUUGAUUUAAAACAUAACUUCUUCAUUAUUGAGAAUAGAUUCAUCUAAAAACAGAACUUCUUCAUUCUUGUCUUUGAUUCACCAACAGGUGGUGCAAGGAAGAAUAAAGUCUAUAUUGAGGUUAGUAUAUAUAAAUGAGUUGAACAAUAGUUGUGAUACUAAAAGGAAAUGGUUGAUGCAAUAAACUCCAAUAUAUAACAUUAAUGAAGUUAUAAAGAAAUGUUGAUGCAAUAGAUUUGAAUAUUUAGUAAAUCUGUUGGUUUAUAUAAAUCAUGAAUUAUAUGCAAUAUUUGGGCAUUGAAAAAAAGUUCAAUAUGCAAUGACUGAUUCUGGUUAUAAAAUGUAAAAAGAAUAUUUGAGUUGAUUAAAAAUAAGUUAGUGAAGUGGAAUUAGAGAAUUAGUUAUUGUAAUGCAAAUAGUAUAAUACAAGUUUAAGUUUAAUGAUUGAAUUUUAGUAAUUCUAGUAGUUAGAUAAUUGUUCUGCAACUUCUACCAAUUAAUAUUGUUAUGUAUAUGAUGUUCGUGAGAUCUAAUUUGUUUUGACAGAUCAAACAUAGAAAGAACUAAAUGGAUGACAGAAGUUCAGAAGGUGUUUCACUUACUGAAAGUUCUUGCAUAGGACAAGAAUUUGAUUCGGAGGAGGAUGAGUUUAAUUUCUAUAAUAAUUAUGGAAGAAAGUUAGGAUUUAGUGUGAGGAAACAAUAUGUGAACAAAAACAAGCUUGGUGUAGUUACUUCAAGAAGAUAUUCAUGCUCGAAGGAGGUUGAGCGGAUGGAAAUAAUAGCAGAGGGCAAGAAAAAGAGAGUUAGACGACCUAGUAGAUUCAAUUGUCAAGCAAAAAUGAAUGUAGUACUUGAUAAAACAAAACAAAACUACGUUGUCAACAACUUUGAUGAGAAUCACAAUCACUUAUUGCACAUUCCUGAAUGCGUUCAUGUGGAUGUAGCCAAAACACAAGCGAUUAGAUUGAAUUAGCAUAUAAUUCUGGAAGGCGGCGCUGAUAUGCGGUUGCAGAUAAGCCUUUUUCUUGUAGUGCAAGCAGUGAGAAUAUUGAGUAGAUACAUGUCUAACCCCGGGAAGGAGCAUAUAUUAGACUGCUAUCAAAAGAGUUCUCAGGUAUCUUUCUGAUAGUACUUCUGAUUUUGCAUUGCAUUUUAGAGGUAAAAGAGAUGGGAUAAAUUUUAAGGUGGUAGGAUAUGUGGAUGUUGAUUUGGGUGGAGACGCCAAUAGAAGGAAAUCAACGAUUGGCUAUAUAUUCAACUUGUUUAAUGGUCCUGUGAGUUGGAUGAGCAGAAAGCAAAGUGUUGUUGCAUUGUCAUCCACUGAGGCAGAAUAUAUGGCGUUUACUCAUGCAAGUAAGGAAGCAAUAUGGAUUCACAUGUUGUGUGGCGAGCUUGGUUUUAAACAGAAGGCAGUGAAGUUAAAGUGCGACAGUCAGAGUGAUAUUUACUUACCAAAAAAUCUUGCAUUCCACUCACGGUUGAAACAUAUUAAUAUUCAGUAUCACUUCAGCAGAGAUAAGAUUGAUGAGAAACUAUUUUUUUUUUUUGUUUUAAAAAAGUUGAUAUAGCAGUGAAUAGCGCAGACUUCUUAACUAAGACAAUUAGAUUGGAAAAGUUUAAGUGUUGUACAUGUGAGGUGGGCAUCAAAAAGUAUUCACCAAGUGAGAUAAUGUUGGGAUUGACACAUACUUUAGUGGAGUGGAAGAGACCAAUAGACAAGUGUAAUGUUUAUUUGAGCUUGGGGUUUUAUUUGUAGACCGGUCUUGGGUUUGACUAAUGUAUUGAGCCCAUGUGAUUGAUCUCAUAUUUGGAGUGUGUAUCAUGUAGAGAGUAUGAGAGAGACAAUAUAUGAACAUAGCUUUUCACUAGUAAUUGUAUAAAAUUAAAAUACGAAGUUAAUUAGUUGUUAGGUUGCCGUAGUUAUUUUCCUCUUCCAAUUACAUUAUAAACAUCUUUAAGGUUGCCAUAGUAAUAGUAUAAUAGAUGCACCAAAAUUAGUUUUUCUGAAAAAUAAAGAUGAAGAGAUUUUUUCUUAUACAUGCAAUCAAUGCCCCAUGCGAAGAAAAACCGACUAUAACUCUACUCUAAUAUGAAGGAUAAAUAUAGGAAGGAUAAAAAAAAUACACCUAUUAUAUUUAUAUACAUACAAAUACGAUUAAUUAAUGUGCAACUCAACUUUUCAUUGAUCACAAUAAUAAUUAAUACCAUAAUUCAAUUUAUAACGUGUUUGGUCCCAAUAUUUCCCAAUUCUAAAAUUAAUUCUACAUUUUAAUCUUUAUAUUAAUUUGGACAAUAUUUUUACAAUAUUAAAUUUUAAAGAGUAAAAUACUAAAAAAUUAUUACUAGUACAUGAUCAUUUACCAAUUUUUCUUGUAAAUAACAACGCAAAGACAAAAUAAUAACAAUAUUGCAAUCAUCCGAUCAACUAAUUAAACAAAUUGAUUGUGUAACUCAAAUUUUUUUCAUAGAUCAAUUCGAUAAUACACGCGUGAGUUUAUAAUUACGAACUGGUUUUGUCCCAAUAAAAAAUCAAUUCAAAUACAUACCUAUAUAGAAUCAACAAAAAUCUGGUAGUUAGCUAGUAUUGAGGAAAAGCAACAUAGGGAUGAAAUUUGUAACAGUUUUUGCCGCCGAGAGGAUUCUUCUUCAUACUACCCAUUAUUGGCUUUGGCUUUGGCUUGGGAUCUUGAAACUCAAUUACUUGAAUCUUCUUUUGCCUCUUGGCGUCCUCGAUUCGUUGAUAAGAAUCGCGCAGUUUCUUCUUGGCGGACUCGUAUUUCAAUUGAAUAGAGGAUUCAUCCAAUGCCUUGUUCUUAUCACAAUAAUAUUCUCUGUUUGGCUCCGCAUUAAUCUUGUUCGGUUGAUUAUUGAUCUUCUUGUUGACAACAGCAUUGUCAUCAUCAUCAUCGGCUUCUUGUUUUAAGCACACAGCAAUCCACUCCAACUGAUCUCGAUUUGGCUUCAAAACUUGUAUAACCCUCUUCAAUUCCUUGCCUUUUCCCGAUGGUGGUUGCCGCUUCAAACGAAUAGGAACACGAUCACUCACAUCUUCAACAACUUGAUCAUCGGCAUCGAGAUUCAUGGCGGCAUCAUCACUCACAAAGUUAAAAGCAAAAUCCUCCAAUGACCGACUUCACAAAGUUAAAAGCAAAAUCCUCCAAUGGCGGACAUUCAAGUCCGUCGAACAUCUCAUCACCAUAAACCUCCUCCAUUAAUCUCUCUCUUUCUUUCUCUCACUCAGACUAGUAUGAGCUUAAUUUGUUCUAAUAAUUAUGUAUAUAUAUAUAUAUAUAGUGAUCAGGUUAAUGACUUGGAACCCAAAUAUAUUCGGUCGGCGUAUUUAUGGCAUUGAUCUUACGAACGGGUUUAAAUGCAUAUCUGUGUGCAAAUCUUCUACAAACAGAUUUCAUAUAUAAUAAAAAUAGAUUUCAAAUAUAUUUUCAUAUAUAUAUAUAUAUAUAUAUAUAUAUAUAUAUAUCAUAUCUUCUACAAAUAGAUUUCAUAUAUAUCUGUGUGUGUAUAUAUUUCAUAUAUAUUUGUGUGUAUUUCGUAUAGGUUUAUAUUUGUGUGCGCAUUAUAUCUUCUAAUUAUUUGUUACUGUCAAUUUUACUUAAAUUAAUUGCAACAUUUUAAUGUUGACAGCGGAAUAAGUCAACAAAAAAUAUACUUCCUCAAUUUUAAAAUUAGAUAUACAAUUUGACUUUUGAGAUCAAACGACGGUAUAUAUAAAAAAAUUUAAAUUGAUGUGAAUUUAUUUAAUUUUAAUUAAUAAUACAAUUAUAUAAAUGAGGAAAUGAGGGAUUAUAUCUUAAUUUAAAGCAUUAGGGAUAACAUUGUUUAAUAAAUUUAAAUGUGAAAAAUUAUUGUUUCUGAAGUGAUCUUUCUACUUUGGAAUUAAUGUACAGAUCUCCUGAUUAAUUUCAAAUUGGUGCUAGAUAUGAUGUAUUCAAAGGAGCAAGAGCUUAAACUUCAUUAAUUUAGUUUUACUUUUAUUACUACUUUGUACCAGAACAACUGAUCUCAUGUUAGGGGGGAAAUAUGUCUCUAUGUUUUGAUAUAAAAAUGUUCAAGAAAAAUUUGUCCUUUCAUCUUCCAAAAUAUAAAAUUCAAAGUACAUAAUUUUAAAUUCAAAAUUGAUAUAAAUAUUUAUUUAUUUUCAAAAAAAAUAAAUCUUGUAAAGUAGUAAUACUUUUCACUCGGCAUAAAAUUUUCAUAAUUAUAUUAUCUAAAAUUAAAAGAAUUCAUAUAAGUUCUGAGUGAGUUUGAAAAUAUCUUAACAAUAGUACAAAAUAAACUUAAAUUAUGUCAACGUAGCAACACUCGUAUCUUAAAUUGACAUCAAAAAAUAAAUUAAUUACAAAAUGGGAAAAUAGAUAAUAAUAACUGAAGGAUUUUACAACACCAUUUCAACUAUCCAAGAAACUUUAAAUAUACAAGACCCCUGUAUUAUAUUGCUGUUUAUUUUUCUAUCAUAAAUACAGUUCCUGACAAGAUAUGCUAACAAUAUAAUCCUAUGUCUGUUUCUGGAGCAGAAUAUUGUCUCUGAGCCCAAGCACAUACAAAGUGGAAUAACAUUUCAAGGAGAGAAAAUUGGAACCCCCUUAAUCUACAACAAAUAAACAGACAAUUCCCCGAAAGCACACCUACAACUACAACUACAACUAAUGGGGAGGUGCAAACAGCCAUGAUCCUGCUUGUUCAGCUCUGUAACCACUAUCAAAUAUGUAAAGCUUCCGUUUCUGGAUAGCUUUUAACUUGGUUGAUUUUGAUGCCUAGCAUUUUGUUUAAUGCACCAAUAUAGGCUCGGACGCUGGAAAUAACAAUAUCCAUUGAUGCUCCGGUUCCACUGUCAACAAUUACAACAAAAGAGAAAAAAUGACAAGUGUAGGACUGAUGAAAUGUUUCAAAAAUGAUCCAUUUAAGAAAAGAGAAUUGUUAUUUUCAGAAGGUCUCUCCCACAUAUAUAUAGUAAAUUCCUCAUGGUUACAUGAGAGAUAAAAUAGGCUUGUGGAAAUAAAAUUCCCUCGAGAAAAAAUUUAAAGCAAGUGCAUGACAUACCUAUAUGUACGUUGAACAGCUUCUCCAGUGUAUGCGUUAGUUGAUGUCUGGUUGUUAUCCCCGCGAAUUAAAACUCGGGUAGUGGCUAUAGCAUCAAUGCCUACCGUAACUGCAUUCAUGGAGUACUCGAGAAGCGUCACAGGUACCUGCAUAUAGGGAGAACGAUGCUUCUUCAGGCCCACAGCAUGUGCGCUCCCAAUUCAAAUGAGCACUUACAACAGGGAAAAUAUAUAUAUUAACUACUCAGAAAUCGUACUGGUUACAUGUGACAUAUUGUUUGAUGUAAACUUUAAUUUACUAAAUGAGUCAUCGUUUACUUUUGUAAUAUAUAUACUGACUGCGAAAAAACUCGGAACUUCAUUGUGUAAAAAUCACUUCACUCGAGCAAGAGCAUCAGAAAACAGCUGACAAUGACUCUUAGCAAAAGUGGGUUAGCCCAUUUCUUUAACCUAAUUUCAUUGCAAUACAGAACUGAAAGCUUUCAAAUUCAAACCUUCACAAUGAGAUCAACCGCCUUGUAUGCUGAAUCAACUGGCCCUGUUCCAACUGAACAAGCAAUAUGUUCUUCUCCAUCAGCAUCAAUUAGUCUAACAGUUGCCGUUGAAAGACCCAGACUUCCACAUGUAACCUGUGCGUUACGUAAUAGGUCUUUUUCAAUUGAAAGAACGACUACUUUAUACAUCCACACCACUGACUAAAGAAAAACCAAAUUGAUGCAUGAAAUGAAGUCUACGUGUACCUGUACAUCGCCAAGCUUCCAAACAACUUGAGGCUGAAAAACUUCAUCUGAGACCAGUGCUAUUAGGUCAUCAUCCGUAAUGGUCUGAGACACCAAAAAAGAAAAUAAAUGAUGGGUAGAAUGAGCUGCAUAAUUCCAACAAAAUAGGCACAUAUAUAGUCUUUCCUUCUCUACUUUGGUUCUCCAUUUUCCAAUAUGCUAAUAAACUUAUAGGUCCGCACCCUGACUGCACCCUUAUGCCAUUCUUUGGCAAUUGACAUAACCAGCGACAAAAACCAAAACUUAAUUAACAGCAGUAAAAUUGUCUAGAAUUUCCUUGCACCUUUUUCUUUUCAGCUACGGCUUUAAAACGCCAAAACAGAUCAUCAAGUUCCUUCCCAUCGAUGUCAUAGCCAAGCUGAAAAGGCAUUAAAGCAAGGUGUUGAUGCAUGGCAUCAAAACAUGAACAUGUAUUUAGUGCAUAGAUGGCAUGAACAUUGCCCUAUACCUCCAGAAGUUUCGACCUCAAAGCAUGGCGUCCGCUGUACAAAAUUUUAGGGAAAAAAACAUGAGAAUAUAUGUGUAUUCGUGGGAGAGAGAGAUGGACAGCCAAAAAUACAAAUUGCUUCAAAACCAUAAAGAAUACGAAAGGAAAUAGUCAUAUUAUCAAAUAGCAUUUUAAAAGAACAUGUGGGUGGUGCUUCUUGGAGAUUCAAGCAUGCAGAACCUCAUCUGUGGAAUGAAGAUCCAUCCUUAACAGUUAAUCCUAGCACCAAAUAUAUCUAUACCUGUUUUGCAUCAUUACAUAUAACUAUUUUCAAGCUUUGUUUCAUAAAUAAUCCCCACGUCUCAAUUAGCUUUGCACCUAAUCACGGAAACAAUCUUUUUCAGUUUCUUGAUCACAAACACUAUUGUCAUCUCUUUUGCAUGGUGCCACGGUAAGGCUUCACAAGAGGAUAAGCAUGCUUCUCGAAAGUAUUCAGAAUAGAAUAACUCAAUAGCGUUUCUAUAUAACAAAUCAAUAUGCAAAAAUAGUAAGGCUAACAUAUAUUGAACAAGCAUAUAUAAUGAAGUACAAGACUUGAGCAACUUAAAAUACAAAUUAAGAACUAGUAAGUCACAAGUACUUUUUUUUUUCGUUUCUUUUUUCCCUUUUGGUCUGAUAACAGUUGCGUGUCAAAAGACAAAUAUAUAAACAAAUUUGUAAGCCACAACAGAAACCAAAAGCUUUAGCAGUUUCGUUUCUCCAUACCUAAGUUUUCCGAGGACAAUACCAGAUUCAUCAGAACGAUGGAGCCCAAUCUCUUCCGGAGACAUAAUCUCAUAUGUAUUUUUAUGUUUAAGCAUUCCAUCCUACAAGAUCGCAAGCAUAAGACAAGGGUUUCAGUAACUGUAACUCAAUCAUUGAAAGAAGAAAAAAAACGGAAGAAUAAGCAUUCCAUCCUACAAGAUCUGAAGCAUAAGACAAGGGUCUCAAUAAGCGUAAAUUAAUGAAAGAAAAUGUUAAACUUGAGAACUUUCUACAUGCUCUCCCCUGGAAUAAUAAGAGAACUUUAAUGUGCUAAAAAAUUAGAAAAUAUAGUUUUAAAAAGAUAAAAAAAUGGAAGAAUCUAAGGAAAAGAAUUAAAAGGCAGUCAAUGAUCAACAUAUAGUAAUGUUAACCAAUUAUAUAGGUUGUUACAAGAAUAGAUCUGUUCGGUAAUAGUAGUAGUAGUGUUUGGUUAUAAGCAUAUUGCAAUAGCUAUACAAUUAGUAUAAAACACUUUCAAAAUGUAGCCUGGUAUUUUGUGUAAAUUAAUGCUGAAAAGUUUCUUCUCUAAAUUCCUUCCCUUCCACUUGUGAAUCUCUUCUUAUGUUUAUUUGAUUUCAAUUCUUUUUAUUUUACAUUUUUUCCUGAAUCUAUAAAAAUAAUCUUGAUUAAAACAUUCACGAUCAUCACAUUUUGUAUCAAGCCCCUCGACUCUUGGACAGAUUUCCAUCAUGGUUGACACACAAGGUUGAAGGUGAUUGAAGCAAACACUGGGUAAUAGGGACUUUCAGAAUUCAAAAAUAUAUUGGGUAAGAACCUCCAUUCAGUCUUAUAUCUCUAAUCUGAUACUUUGGUUCUUUUUUAAUCUAACAUCCUUUAUUUCUUUGCUUCUAAUUCUUUUUGGUUAACCCUUAUUUUUCCUUUUUCUUUUCACAAAUUACGGGUGUCAGAAACUCUUAGAGAAUUCAGCUAGUCAUGGGCACUUUUUUUUAAGUCAAAACUCCACUAAAGUCUCUAAUGUCUUAUAGUUUUCCUGUCUACAUUUUCCCUCUUCAACACUCACAUUUGUGUAAAAAUUUCAUCAUUUCCAAUCCCAGAAAUCAUAAAUUCUCUAUGAGAGAACCCAAUUUCAUUUCAUUUCUUCCUCUAUUCUUGAUCAUCCAUAUUUGUUCUUUAUCUGUAAAUUUUGAGCAAUUGUACUAAUCCUAGAACUAUCAAUGAAAAGUCAGAUCUCUCAUCUCCAAACCCAUCUCAACUACAUUUCUAAUCUUCCAUUUUUUCUUAUUCUAAUUAUUUUCCUAUUCUAAAUGGGUUCUCUAUUUUAUUUUGAUCAUUAAUUUUUUUCUCUCUCAAUCUUUAGCAAUUUUUCUACUUUAGCAUUACCAAUCUCAGAAGUUAUGACAUUCUUCCUUAAGAUUUACAAUCUAAUUCCCAGACAAUAAUUAUGUCUUGAUUUUUUUUUCUUUUUCCAAGUGGAUUCACCAUCUUCCACCAUGACUGAAGUUGGUACGGAAAAACCUUUUGUAUAAGGUUCGAAAUGGUGAAUUGAGGUAGAGUAGACUGAUAAUCGUGACAUAGUGAUCAUGAAUAGCAAGGGGCUAUUGAGCAGUGAGAGAUUCUCAAAUUUACAGGGCACAAUGUCUGAGUUCCUUGUAGAAACGAUACAAAUUAGAAAAGGAAACAAGAAACUAAACACUAACACUCACGAUUUACGUUAGCACCACUGUUUUCAAAACAAAUGAACUGCAUCUACACCAUCAAUCCAAUAUAAUUAAAAUAAUAUGCUUAAAUACACUUUAAACCUUAAAGUUUUUCACUUUUUACAACUUGAACCCUAAUGUUUUAACUUUAAGACAUUGAACCUUAAUGUCUUUAAAUUUUUAUAAAUUAAACCUUGUAGCCAUCGACGAGUAAUAAUUGAUCCGAAUGAGAUUAUUUUGAGUAAUUUUACUCCACAAUAUCUUUAGAAAUACAAAAAAAUAUAGGCACGUGGUUAGUGUGAUGAAGAAAAAAAUAGAAAAAAUUAAAUUCAAUAUAAAUGAUUUAUACCGUUAAAAACUAAAUUUUUCGGAUUGAUAGGACAUCUAAAAUAUCUUUAAAAGCACAAAAAAUUGUAGUCACAUGGUUAGUAUGUGAUGAGGAAGAAAGAUAAAGUAAAAUCGAAGCCAAUAUAAACCCUUAAAAGACUUAAUUACCCUUUAUUUUGAGUUGCAUGACUUAUUCUGGUAAGAAAUGCUUAAUUCAGUAGCCAAAAGGUUUAAUUUAUAAAAAUAUAGAGACAUUGAGGUUCAAUGUCUUAAAGUUAAAACAUUGAGGUUUAAAGUGUAAAAAGUGAAAAACUUAAAGGUUUAAAGUGUAUUUAAGCCAAAUAAUAUUGAUUAUGGGAGAUCCACGAAGUUUAUUGAAAAUUAAGAAUACAAGUAGAGCUGAAUUCAAAUAUUGUUAGGUUCAAGAUGGUUUUCUAACACCUAAUCUAGAAAAUGUUAUCAACCCAAGAAAGUGAACAUAACAUAAUUUUUUGUACAAGUAAAUAAUAAAUUCACUCUAAGCGUUGUUAGCGGCCUAACCUAAGUACACAUGCAAUAUACACAGUAUAGGCGAGAGAGCUACGGCUAUGCCAAUUGCCACACAAAGCCAAGACCCCUGUCCAUACUAAAAGAUCCUCCCUGUCAAUUGAUCUUCCCAAAAUAAAUGAAAAAACAAAAAUAAAAAUAAACAACACUAACCUCCACUCUUUCCACACCCUCAUUCCAUUCCAAGCCAGCAUCAUUUCACCUACUGCCCUUGGCAUCACAAAAGAGAGAUCACACAACGAAAAGGUAAAGGUGUCCCAGCUACGUUUCCUCUACGCUAGUCUUGGGGGGGAAGCAUAGCAAGGGGAUAAACCUAUCCACUCAGCUCCUCCUUGCUUAGCCGAUCAAAGUCACUCCUCAAACUCCUAGCCGCAAUACAAUGGAGAAGGAGGUGACGACCAUUUAAUUUACUACAAAGUUGUCAAAUAGUUAAGUUGAAGCGAGUCGGUGUCCGACUGCCUAAGGAACCAGUUGCCUAGUCGCCCAACUAGUCGUUGAUAAAGAGACAAAUUAUUUACAAUACGAGAUGUGUGUAUAUAUAUAUAUAUAUAUAUAUAUAUAAAUUACAAUUAACAUGAAAAAUAUUACAAUUUCACAAUCUAAACUAUAAAAUAUCAUUGAUAACUAUACGAUAUUGACACAUCACUAACAUUAUUUAUAUAACAUUAAUAAUCUUGUAUAAUCAUUAUAUAUGUGUGUGUGUGUGUGUGUAAAUAUAAAGUUAUGCUAUAGAUAUAUAAAUUGAUAAGCUGAAAAUACUAUACUAUAAAUUUAUAUAUACUAUAAUUAUAUAAAUUAAUAUACUAUACUUAGUAUACUAUACAUUAGUUGUAUAUAUUAGUUAUAUAAUGUUAUAUGUAGGUUCCUUUUUCUUCUUUGUUGCCGAUGUUUUUCUUAGCAAAGUAAUCCCUUAGUCACAUACUUGUUUGAGUAUAUUUGUUUGGAUCUUUAAUUGGGUGGGUUACUAGGUUAUAGGACAAUUGGAAUUUGGAAUUAGGUCGGGUAAAUUAAAAUUUGAGUUUCUUUCCAAGUCAUCUGACUAGAGACCAAUUCGGGCAAAUCGUCGAUUUGAAAUGACUAGGCGACGACUAACUGUUCAAGUCGCACCACUUAGUGACAACGGUCAAGUCGAGCUAUCGACUCGCACUUCCAACAGUGACCGGACUAAUCGCGGGCUAGUCGUCAUGACUUGAUAACUAUGAUCUACUAGUAAGCCGGAGCUCUUUUUUUUUUGAGGUUAUGCUAAGUGUGGAUUAUCACCCAAAAGCCACAGUCCAUUUGAAAAAUGCCACGUUCUGAGGUUUCCCUUGUGACCCCCCAAAUUCAGACACUAAUAUCUCGAAUUCGGUGUUUCACGAUUUAACUCAAUUAACAAACUAAAAUCUCAAACAACGGAAUAAUAUAAUAAUUUACAUUGAAAUAAUAUAAAUAUUCUUAUCUCAAGUUCUCGCAACCGUUACUAACUUAAUACAUGGCUUAAAUUGCACUUAACUUAAUACAUAAUAUCAAAUAAGUCUUGUUACAAACAUAAUAAAAAUGCGCUUCUAACAUAAAAGACUAAAACUACUCCAUAGCUUUGCCUUUGCCCUUAUCUUUCCCCGAGGUUAGGGGUGUGCAACCGGAACCGGUCCGAACCGGAACGGUACCGAACCGGUACCGAAAUUAGCCAAAUUUUAGUACCGAUACCGGUUUACCUGUUGGACCGGUAUACCGAACCGGUUUACCGGUUCGGUACCAGUUCUUACCGAAAAUUAAUAUAAUUAGUAUUAUUAUUUUUAUUAAUAUUAUUAUAAUAAUUAUUUUAUUAUUAUUAUUAAUAAAAAAUAAAAAAAUAAAAAAACGGUAUAUACCGGUCCGGUUCGGUAAAACCGAACCAUAAAUACGCCGUACCGAAACCGGUACCGAAAAACCGGUAUAUACCGGAUUUUUUGUACCGAAACCGGACCGGUACUUUUUGUACCAAACCGGCCGAUUCGGUCCGAUCCGGAAAAUCGAAAAUGGUGCACAGUCCUACCCGAGGUACUGCCUUGCUCUGCCUUAACUGAAAUGUUUUAAGCAAGAAUAACCAACAAUUUAAUAAGGGUAAACAAGUAUAUAAGUUCAUGAUCUCAAGGGUAUAACGGUAAAUAAUAGUUCAAGAAUUAAAAGAACAAUGUCGGAGAUAAGAAUUAACAAUUAUUCUAAAUCUGACCUUUGAAUCGAAAUAAGAGUCGCAAUGGACUAAAGGAUAUUCAACAGAAUUCAAAGGUUUCGAUACUUUAAGGUUUAAAGAAGAUUUAAACACUGAGUAGUCACUAUGGAAUAAGAACUCCUACUAGAAUUAACAGUAUUUAACUAACAAUUCAAUAUAAAAAAGUACAACAAGUGAUCAACCUAUAGUACCCUACGUUAUGCAUAACAUUUAAACAUGUUGUUUAUGCGCACGUCGGUUCCCCGACAAUAUAAAAUUUCCCCUUCUAAGAGGAUUGUUCAUAUUAAUAGAUUUAUAAGAUUCUGCAUCAAAGCAAUUGGUUUGGAUAGCUUCCUAACUCAUAGAUAUUUGUCUAGCCGAAUCAAAUGGCUUACUCCUUUCUCAAUACGUUUAAGAACGAUAAGUUCAAACUCGCCACAUGAUUCAAGAUGUAAAGUUUAAGUCGAAUUUCAGGAUAUGAAUAACAAUUCAUACGAGUAUAGAUAUUUGCUCAAUAAUUCAAAAUUUGCACAAUAUUCAACGCGGUAUAAAAUUUAGGAACUUGCAUUCAAUAUAAGAAUAAAAUAAAGUGUGGAAACUUGUGUAAUCAUACAUAAAGUAAAUGCAUAGGUUAGGAUAUUUGCCUUUAGCGUAGAUUACAAGUCUAAAGCUUAACGUCACUGCAAAGUCUUAUAGUAUCCUAUUUAUGUAUAUAUAUUUAUACACAUUAGUUAUACAAGCUGGAUACCCCAAAAUAUCGCAUACACAUACUCAAUACGUAUGUUAAGCACAUACAUUAAGUCAUGUCUUAGUUACACAAUCAGACCGUAUAAUUACCACAUCAACAUUGAUUUGUCUUUGAAAUCUUUAUCUAAAAACCUUUUAGAAAUUGUUAAGUAUUGAUUCAAUGUAGCCACAAUACACUUAAACACUUGAAACAUCAUGUAUUAUAACUUAAAACAUUAAUAUAUACAUGCUACAAUUCUCAUAUCAUAGUUUAAAAAGUCGGACAACAUUGCCCUGCAGCGCAGAUGUGCUGCAGUUUGGCCUAGGAGUGGCGUAGUUGCGCAGCUCCCUGGCCAGGCCAGAGUUGUUUUGAGUUUACUAAUUCCAUUUUAGUUUCUAGCAUGCAUGGAUACUAACACAUAUCAUACAGACAUGUUAAGAGGUCUUGGGCUCUCCUAGGGUCAUUUCAAGUUCACUUUUACACAUUAUGGUUUUAGUUGGAAAUUCUAUUGAAUUAAGGCUAAAUAAGUUCACGAAAUCAAGAGGCUAACCACAUUAACCAUUUAACCACGUAAGAAUGUUAAACAACCUGUGAUACGCAAGCUCGCAUGUAUUCAAUUUAUUUACACAUAAUUAGUAUUGUUCAUCUCUUGAAAACGUGUUUAAAAUCAUGCUUGAGUAGUUCAUCAUGUGCCUAAUUAGAUGAGUGAACAUAUAGGUCAUGUUUAGUGACAUAAGGAGUCUUACUAUACAUGUUCUAAAGUUCAAAAUGUAAACAACAUCAUGCUUGCAAAUAUUAGUUUCAAAGCUUUCAAGUUUUCUUUUAAAAAGUCAUCUUAAAUCAAAGCUAAAGCAAGCAAAGCAACUUUAAACUACCUUUCAUGCUCAUUUGUUCACCUAACCCAGGCAUAUGCAUAUGCUAAAAUCAAAACUCAAAACACACAAGUUUCAUCAAAGUUCGUUUUCAAAACUGCUAAUUUCUUUUAGAAAAUAUACAUUUAAGUAGACUAAGGUAAUUCAUAUGAUGCAAAGGGACUUUAGGCUACAUGUUAUACUUAUUUUCAUGUGUAACCAACUCAAACUAGCAUGUUAAAACAAAUCAGACUAUAGUAGAAGUCCAGAUUCCUUUCUGGUGCACGGCGCAGCUGCGUUGUUCUGUACUGUGGGAGCGGCGGAGCUGCGAUGCUCCAGAAUAGUCCCAGAAACAGCAGCCGGCACAGCAGCGCUGGCAUGAACUGCAAAAGGGGUGCAACUGCGCCCUUCCCUGGACAGUCACAGGAAGGUCUCUGUUUCGGCAGAAACUCAACAUACAACUAUUACACUUUCAUUUAGCAUGAUAAGAACAUCUCAUUGACGCAUAACACACAUGCAAACUCUGUUAACACAAUAACAUUCCUUCGCAAACCAACUAACAUAGAAUUCAUGAAAAUUUUUAAGAAUUUAUAAAACUUUGAACUUAAUAACAAAUUUAAGGAUGUUACCUCUUUUGAAGUUAAAUUAAUACUCCUUAAUUCUUAACUUCAGAUUGCUCUUAAUUCUCAGCAACUCUCUCUAAUUUAACUUAACAGACAAUCUAGCAAAGUGAAUUUGAGAAGAGGAGACUGCUAUUUAUAGAAGACUUGAUACCCAAAUUUGGGCCUUACACAUUGAAUUAAACCAAUUGUAUUAAGAAGAAACCAUUGGAUUGAAAGAAUUUGGUAAAAAGAAGUUAACAACUUCUUCUCCUCUAUUCUUCUCACCAUCAUUGCAGCUAUGAACAGUAGAGAAGCAUAGGAUAGGCCAAUGGCCUAAUCACGACAGUUGAAUAGAGUGCGACACUGCUUUUGGGACAAGUCUUAUUACUCUCUUAUUUAUCAGUAAAGUGGACCUCAUACACUAAGGUUAUUUCCUUUAGGGCUCACAAGUGCAAUUUUAAUGAGUUAAUAUUAUUACCUUGUAAUAAGUUAAGGGUAUAUAUACACAAUCAUAUAAUCCAUGUACAUUAGAUUUGUCCCAAUAAUAUUUAAAUUAGGUUAAAAUAUAAUUCAGUUGGGUAUCAACCACCCAUUAUAUUACAUAAAACUUAUUAUUUUCAAUAUACCCCAAAUAUUAUAAUGAUAAUUAAUAUUAAAUGUUUAUUUUCCAACAAUUAACUUUCUUCAAUAAUUCUUAAAAUACACAUUUAAUUCACCCAUUAUGUACUAUAAUGUCACACAAAGCUCAUUUAUAUGACUUGGUAAAUCACAUAUUUCAAACUUAUUUUUAUCAUAUAGUCUUGUACAUUAUAACAUUAUUAUUAAUGUCCCACUUUUCGUAUCAUGUAUAUAGUAACAAAAUAAUUUUUCAAGGACUGGUCAUUGACGCAGCUGCGCUGGUUUGUACUGCAGAAGUGGCGCAGCUGCGCCACACUGUGACAAUUAUGUUUUGCACCAACAGUCUCAGACCAUACCACAUACCACAAUGAAAUUGCACAUAACACUUAAUUAGCUAAAAUAAUAAUAACAAUUAGUCUAUCACAUUAUUAAAUCAUUCUUUCAUUAAUUUAAUUAAAUGAUUACUUAAUCCAUCAUUAUGCCAAACUAGGCAUGUCACAUAAGCUUAAUAUAAACUUUUCAUUAAUUCCACCACAUCACAUACUUGUUACGUGCUUAACUCAAUUUAAGUUGAAUUAUUACCUUCCGAGACACGGGUUAAAUGCUUUCUAAGUCACUGUACUAUAAGUCGACUUACAAAUGGGUCACUGAACUUUUUUUUCUUAUAGUCAACUCACUGAACUUUAGUUACUAACAAAAAGUUUAAUAUUCCGUUAAAGAUGUUGACUUUGGACGGAAAUUGCCACGUAAGCUGCUGACGUGACAAUUUUUUUUGAUGGGGCACAGAUCUGUCCCAUGUGGCUUUCAUGAUAUGGAAAUGGAGGAGAAUUUACAAAUGUAAUAAUAUAAAUGUACAUAAAACGCAAUUUUUUUAAUAAAUUUUUUUAAAAAAACGCAGUUUUUUUAUAAUAAAAAAUAAAAAAAAACGCAGUUUUUUUAAUAAAAAAAAUAAUUAUUUUUAUUUUAAAAAAAAACCAAACAACGCUCUCUCUCCUUCUCCGUCACAACAACGCAGUUUGGUUUUAAAAAAAUAAAACACAGCUUUUUUUAAUAAAAAUAAUUAUUUUUAAUAUAAAAAAAACACAAUUUUUUUUGAUAAAAAUAAUUAUGUUUAAUAAAAAUAUAAAAAACAGAGUUUUUUUUAAUAAAAUAAAAAAAAACACAGUUUUUUUAAUAAAACGCAUUUUUUUAAUAAAAAUAAAAAAAAAGUGCAGUUUUUUUUAAAAAAAUAAAAUUUUUAAAUAAAAAAAUUUAUUUUUAAUUAAAAAAAACGCAGUUUUUUUAAACAAAAAAUAAAAUAAAAAAAAAAUUUUAAUUAAAAAAAAACUGCAUUUUAUUUAUUUUUAAAAAACUGUGUUUUUUAUUUUUAUUAAAAAAAACAGUUUUAUUUUAAUUUUUUAUUUAAAAAAACUAUGUUUUUUAAAUUAAAAAUAACUUUUUUUAUUAAAAAAACUGCAUUUUAUUUUUUUAUUAAAAAAACUGCAUUUUUUUAAUUAAAAAUAAAUUUUUUUAUUAAAAAAAACUGCAAUUUAUUUUAUUUUUAAAAAAAAAAACUGUUUUUUUAUUUUUAUUAAAAAAAACAGUUUUAUUUUAUUUUUUUAUUUAAAAAAACUGCGUUUUUUAAAUUAAAAAUAAUUUUUUAUAAUAAAAAAAAACUGCAAAUUAUUUUUUGAUUAAAAAAACUGCAUUUUAUUUUUUUAUUUAAAAAAACUGCGUUUUUUUAAGUAAAAAUAAAUUUUUAUAUUAAAAAAACUGCAUUUUAUUUUAUUUUUUUAAAAAAAAACUGUGUUUUUUUUUAAAUUUAAAAAAACAGUUUUAUUUUACUUUUUUAUUUUAAAAAACUGCGUUUUUUUAAUUAAAAAUAAUUUUUUGUAUUAAAUUUUUUUUAAAAAAAAACUACGCUUCUUUUUACUUUUUUUAUUAAAAAAAUGCGAUUUAUUAUCUUUUUAUUAAAAAGAACUGUGCUUUUUUUUAUUUUUAUUAAAAAAAACUCUGCUUUUUUAUUUUUAUUAAAAAAAUUUGCGUUUUUUUUAUAUUAAAAAAAUUUAUUUUUAUUAAAAAAAACUGUGUUUUAUUUUUUUAAAACCAAACUGCGUUGUUGUGACGGAGAAGGAGAGAGAGAGCGUUGUUUGGUUUUUUUUUUUUAUAUAAAAAUAAUUAUUAUUAUUUUUAUGAAAAAUAAACGCAUUUUUAUUAUAAAAAAACUGCGUUUUUUAAAAAAUCUUAUUAAAUAAAUUGCGUUUUAUGUACAUUUAUAUUAUUACAUUUGUAAAUUCUCCUCCAUUUCCACAUCAUGAAAGCCACGUGGGACAAAUCUGUGCCCCAUCAAAAAAAAUUGCCACGUCAGCUGCUUGCGUGGCAAUUUUCGUCCAAAGUCAACAUCUUUAACGGAAUAUUAAACUUUUUGUUAGUAAACUAAAUUCAGUGAGUUAACUGUAAGAAAAAAAAGUUCAAUGACCCAUUUUUAAGUCGACCUAUAGUACAGUGACUUGGAAAACAUUUAACCCUCCAAGACACAUAAAUAUAAAUGUAAUUCAAAACAAAUAUUCAAACAAUUUAUUUAUUUAGUUAAUAUUGUUUAUAAAAUUCACGGAUAUUACACCCCUACUCUCUAUUGGUCUCUGAUGGUACAUAAUUACCAUCAACUCCUUACAGAAUUCUAAAAUAUGAGCGUACCAAAAAACAUCUACUAUUGUUUUGGCCUUCUAACGCACUAGAUCCUCAUGUCCAACCCAUAUCUCCUUCCCUCCAAGGACAUUCAUGAUUCAACAGUCAAACUACCUCCUCUAAUUUCCAAUCCUGAAAGUUCCACCUAAAUAGUGGCUGCCACGAUCAUUGUUCCUCAACCUCAAAAAAAAAUCUGCAACCAUAGCCCUUGGAUCCACCAAAAUAUCUAAAAGAUUCGGAGAAACUCUGCAAGUGGAAUCUCACUAUAGUGUCUGACCAAAAUAAAAAAAUUCCUUCAAUUUCCCAACCUUCUACACAAUGUCUCAUAAAUCCAUCCAAACCUGAAGCAAUGGCUUUCAAAACCCCUCCCCCAAAAGGAAAAGACCCAAGCCUAGUUUGUAUGUAAACGCACGCACGCACUCUCUCUCCCCCCGGCGACUAAUAAUGACCCUCUUCCAUAGACCAACUUCAUGCCAUAAAUCUACAAAACCACUUACCAAACAAAGGUUGUGUUAGAAGAUUCCUUAAUUGUAGUGUUAGAAGAUAUUGCAUGAUUGUAUUUUCCUUAAUCAGGGUGUACACAUUACUAUAAUUUAGGAAUUACAGUAACUGUAAUUAGGGUACUUGUGUAUAAAUAUAUCAAGCUAUGUAAUAGAGAUUCAUUCAAUAAUAAGAAAUUAUUCAGUUUCUACAGGUUGGUUAAAGACUCCCAGGAACCAAAUAUCUAGACCUCCAUCGAGCACACACCUGUGCUUUCCUUCUCCUGGNNNNNNNNNNNNNNNNNNNNNNNNNNNNNNNNNNNNNNNNNNNNNNNNNNNNNNNNNNNNNNNNNNNNNNNNNNNNNNNNNNNNNNNNNNNNNNNNNNNNUGUGCUAACAUGACCACAACAUGCUAGAAGCAUAAAAUGCAGAUAUCUGAAGAAUAACCUUAAACCAAUUUGCAAUCAGAAAACCAACCUGAUGUAUACCACUUUCAUGAGCAAAAGCAUUAGCACCAACAAUUGCCUUGUGUGGUUGUACAAGCAGCCCACUGUACUCUUCCACCUAGAAAUACAACCACCAAAUUGAAUCAGAGUAAAGCAACUUUUUUAAGAUUGGGAAAAAUAAAAAUACAAAUAUAAAAAAGAUGCAAAGAGAGUAUACCAUCUUGCUAGCCCUCACUAUGUGUUUAGUAUUGAUCCCAGUAUAAAGACCACCCAAUACUUGAUCACCGCGACAUUUAAAUGCCAUUACGACCUAUAUUAGAAAGAAAGAGAAGUAGCACAUAAAUUAACAGUGGUGUUGCACAUUAGUCAUUACAAGAUCCAACUACCUUAAAAUAUAGUUAUAUAAGGAAUCCAUGACAUCCACAAAGUUCUUUGAUUUUGUGCCAAGAUUUGUUCUUUCAUAAGGAGAUAUAGAGUAUAAUGGUUGACAAUAUAUGGACCAACUUCAGUUGAUUACAUUGGUGGACUGGGCAUAGCACAUCAAGCAUUAAAUUACGAAUUCAAAAUUAACAUGUCAAAAAUUAGUAAGGAUAAAAGUUACAUAUUAUCUACUCAGAGCAGAGAAAAUCUGAACCAUGCACAUUAGUACCUUCCAUUAUUCCAACAACAUGAUAAAUACCAGUUGUACUAAGUUAUAGUUAGGUUGCAUACCAAACUCAACAAGAGAAACACACGCGCAUACACACGCACGAGCGCGCACACACAAAAGAGAUUCUCAGUGAGAAACAGAGAACCAACGAUAAAAACUAACCUAUUUAAGUGGAAAGCAAUAGCAAUAAGAAUAUGAAGUCGUAAGUAAAAGACAAUGGAUGAAAUCCCAAAGUAAUAUAAAAUGCAUCUGAAAGAUCUCAUAGCUAGAAAUCACCAUAAUCAAAUCUUGAAAAUCACAUUGCCUCGUAUUUUUGACAAAGCAAUAAUACAUAAUUCAAGUGACAUAUGAGAAACAAACCUCACCUCCUCCAAAGAAGCAUUACCCGCUCUCUCACCAAUGCCAUUGAUCGUUACUUCUACUUGUCUUGCGCCUGCACAUGCCCCCUAUACAAAGAUGAGCAAACAUGUCAGUGGAACAAAACCUGGUGUCCAACCCAAUAUAUACUUCACAGAUUUAAUUGCAUACCGCUAAAGUAUUGGCAGUAGAAAGUCCAAGAUCAUUUUGGCAAUGUGUUGAAAUGAUGACAUUUUCAAUUCCAGGGGUGUUUGCUUUUAUGUCAGUAAUCAGUUGUCCGAAUUCAUUAGGCACAGUAUAGCCAACAGUGUCAGGGAUAUUAAGAGUGGUAGCCCCAGCUUUUAUAACUUCCUUUAGAAUGUAAUACAAAAAUUCUCUUUCAGACCUGGUAAGAAACAAGUAUUAAGAAACUUAUGUGUUUACCUGAAGCACAUUAGGAAUAGAGACCAGUACUAUUGUGAUUAGCUUUCAAGAUUAAGUGAAUUAAAACUCAUAUUAAUCAGUAUGUACCAAAUGUAUUGCAACAGAAGUGCUACAUAGUAAUCCAAAUUCAUACUAUAACCUUCAUUAGCCAUUCUGAUCAAUCAACCAACAUAAAAGUAAAUCAAAACUAUCCAGCAGAAUUAACUAAUGCUUGAAUUCAUAAUCAUACAACCAUGUAAUCUAAGCCGCCGACUGAAAAGUUACAAAGAUGGUUAUUUUAGGUUCCUUUUUAUACAAGCAGGGGAAACAUGUUCCCUUUUAUUCUGACUGGUUCACAAGAUAAUAGUAUUGACAUUCUAAGCUAUACUGAGUUCAUACAUUAAAAUUCAUCGUCUCCAUAAAAUAUACCAACCUACAACCAGUGAGUGUAAUUUUCAUCUUGCUUGGUUUCAAGUUUCCACCACAAGAGACUGGAUUAAAAAUAAUAUUAAAAUAAAAUCUUACUCAUUUUCUUUCAUUCACUUUUUUCACUGACUAAAAAUAGAACCAAAGUAAUACAACUUGAAUCACCAAAAGGUCUCACCAUAUAAAAAUAAAAAAUUAUUUAUUAAAAAAAAAUCUAGUAAAAAAGUAAACUUUCUUAUAAAAGACUUGCAUUGAAAAGAAUCUCCUCAAAAUCAAACCUAACCUUAAUAUUUUAAAGGUCUUUAAUCUAUAUAGUAGUACAAAACAGAAAAAAAAUAAUGAUUAUAGGACUUGAAGAUAGAAAGUAGUACAAAACAAAAAACUAAUUAACUAUUCAAAUGGGAGAAAAAGAAAUUUAUAUUACUCUCAACUCACCAAAAAGUAAGCAUAUUAAAUUACAAAAGAAGAAAUGAGUUUUAAAUUGGGAACUAUAAGCAUAUUCAAUUGCAAAAGAAGAAAUGAGUUUUAAAUUGGGAACUAACCUCCCUGCCAACUUUUGGCAAUUCCACUAUCAAAUGUCAAUUUUAUAUACAAAGUUUAUAUUAAAAGUUAAUACCUUCCAGCAUCUUCAGGGCUAAACUCAAUAUCAUCACACCCCAAACUCCUAGCAUAAGCUACCAUACUCCUCGCCUUCUCCACCACCUCCUCUUUCGAUUUCUUCAGCUUAUACUUCAUAUGAAUCUCACUCGUCGCUAUAAAUGUAUGAAUCCUAGGCUUCUUCGCAUACUUAACAGCUUCCCAAGCCGCAUCAAUGUCCUUCUUAUUACACCUCGCCAAUCCGCAUAUGACUGGCACGUGACUACCCUCUUCUCCCCCGACGCCAUUGCCGACUUCCUUGGCGAUAAUCUUCACCGCCUCAAGGUCGGCGUCGGAGGCGGCCGGAAACCCGGCCUCGAUUAUGUCAACGCCGAGCUUGGCCAGCUGCCGGGCGAUGUCUAGCUUCUCUUUGGUGGUCAUGGUCGCGCCAGGGGACUGUUCGCCGUCGCGGAGGGUGGUGUCGAAGAUUCGGAUGUAAUUCGGGUCGGGGAUGCGGUGGGGGAUGUAUUCGGGGCGGCGAAGGGGAGAAUGUAAGCAGCAGCGGAGAAUUGGGGUGGUGGGUUUUAUGGGUUUGAAGUGAAAAAGGGUGGGAAUUGGAGAAUUGGAAGAGAAGGAGGAGGAAUUGGUUGUGCAGUAGUUGGGGUGAGAGAAAAUGGCCGCCAUGGGAAAGAUAGAGAGAGAAAGCUUGGUAACUCUAAAGUGAUUGGAGGAAUAUAGACUUUUGAAGAGGGGGAAAAGGGUUUAUGGAAUAUACAUUUUUU